GCAGAGAUCGAACCACCAACAAUUCUUCUAGUCAUGGUAAAGAAUGCACCUUUCAUUUGUUUUUUUCUCAAUCCUUAACCAAAACUAACUAAUCUUUAGCACAGGCCAUCCCGGAUACAUUGAUUGUCCCCUUCAGGCCACCAUCAACCAUGCGACUUUCGGAAAUAAGAUUACUGACACCCAUUCUCAAAUCCAAUUACC
rnacentral:lncRNA from 1 species